rnacentral:rRNA from 1 species
GACGAACGCUGGCGGCGUGCUUAACACAUGCAAGUCGAACGGAAAGGCCCUGCUUUUGUGGGGUGCUCGAGUGGCGAACGGGUGAGUAACACGUGAGUAACCUGCCCUUGACUUUGGGAUAACUUCAGGAAACUGGGGCUAAUACCGGAUAGGAGCUCCUGCUGCAUGGUGGGGGUUGGAAAGUUUCGGCGGUUGGGGAUGGACUCGCGGCUUAUUAGCUUGUUGGUGGGGUAGUGGCUUACCAAGGCUUUGACGGGUAGCCGGCCUGAGAGGGUGACCGGCCACAUUGGGACUGAGAUACGGCCCAGACUCCUACGGGAGGCAGCAGUGGGGAAUAUUGCACAAUGGGCGGAAGCCUGAUGCAGCAACGCCGCGUGCGGGAUGACGGCCUUCGGGUUGUAAACCGCUUUCGCCUGUGACGAAGCGUGAGUGACGGUAAUGGGGAAAGAAGCACCGGCUAACUACGU